UGAAUGCAUUACUGUUAAAGCAUCUUUUGUCAUGAAAAGCAGUACCAAUAUGUGAGUAUCUAUCUUCUUUUCCUUCUUUGCACUUUAAAUAUGACGGUGGCAUUUGUCCUGCCUGUGCAGCCUGUUGACCAGAGCAUGUUGACACUUUUUUUGCAAGACCUGUGUAAACUACAAACACUCUAAAUGUAAGAAGUCUGACUGUCAGAAACACUCUUGUGAGAUGAGAUUACAUGAGCAUCCAGAAUGGGUUCUGGAUGAAAAAGUACUCUUAUGAAUGAAUGGUAUAUAAACUGCAUAACACUGUUAAUGUAUGGUCCUGCUUUGUUUUACCUACACAGCCUGCUGAUGGAGAAAUACCUGAAACAAAGCGUGUUGCUGCUCAUCUACCUUUUUCAUCGUUGAGGCCUGAUCAAACUCAUCUAUUUUCACCUGUGGUGCAGACCUUCAGGAACAGAUUCCACCUGUUGGAGCUUGCUCGAGCUCAUCCAUCUACACCUGUAUCCCAAACUUCCAAGACCAAUCCGAACUACAAAAACCACUGCUGCUAGAACUUUGACUGUCCAUGAUGGUCUUGUGAGAUCACUUUCCUUAAUUUUUUAAAGCGUGUUGCGGUGACUGGAUUGGAUGCCUGGACUCUCCUCAUGGUUAACCGGCCAGCACCACAUCACCAUUUUAU